rnacentral:ncRNA from 2 species
CCCAGGGCUUACGCCCUAGGCUAUUUCACGUCGCCCCUCCGGGGCU